rnacentral:sRNA from 1 species
UUUGCGUUAGGGAUAGCAGUGGAAAUACUUUUUUUAUAAAAAAAAGAUUGAAACGAAUAGCCCGACCCAAA